rnacentral:rRNA from 1 species
UAAUUCGAAGCAACGCGAAGAACCUUACCAGGUCUUGACAUCCUCUGACAACCCUAGAGAUAGGGCUUUCCCUUCGGGGACAGAGUGACAGGUGGUGCAUGGUUGUCGUCAGCUCGUGUCGUGAGAUGUUGGGUUAAGUCCCGCAACGAGCGCAACCCUUGAUCUUAGUUGCCAGCAUUCAGUUGGGCACUCUAAGGUGACUGCCGGUGACAAACCGGAGGAAGGUGGGGAUGACGUCAAAUCAUCAUGCCCCUUAUGACCUGGGCUACACACGUGCUACAAUGGACAGAACAAAGGGCUGCAAGACCGCAAGGUUUAGCCAAUCCCAUAAAUCUGUUCUCAGUUCGGAUCGCAGUCUGCAACUCGACUGCGUGAAGCUGGAAUCGCUAGUAAUCGCGGAUCAGCAUGCCGCGGUGAAUACGUUCCCGGGCCUUGUACACACCGCCCGUCACGCCACGAGAGUUUGCAACACCCGAAGUCGGUGAGGUAACCUUUAUGGAGCUCAGCCGCCGAAGCCGG